UCAUAAUUCGUUUGAAAUCCAAUUUAAUAAAUCUGCAAUUCAUUCUAAUAAAUUCCCACGUGAAUACCGAUUAUUUUUGUAAAAAACAAAGAAACUACUCCUUUAUCUCACUAUUGGUCCAAAGUUGACUUCAAAAUUGUUGGAGAUUCAGAACAAUGAAGCUAAUUAACCGAUUUGAGAAACAACCAUGUCUUGCUGUGAAAUCCACAAGGAUUUCAACAAACAAACACAGCUGACAUUAUUACAUUCAUUCAACUGUAUCUAUAACACACACAUACAACUUACAAGUAAUACAAUACUCCGAGAUUCAACUUUAGAUACUUCAUUCUGACUCUAUUGGUUUCUUCUUUUUAACUCUUUAUUUUCUAUAACUGCAAGCAAAGUCAGAUCAAGAACCAGAAUAUUAAUCUUGGGUUUUCAUUUUCUUCAAGUUUCUUGAUCUGGGUAGAUUUUUAUUAGAUCUUUCUGGGUGAUUUUGAUAUUGGUUUUUGAUGGGUUGGAGAUACAGAGCUGGCUUGUUUCUGAUUGCUGCUGUUGUUAUUAUUUGGGUUUCUUCUGCAGAGGUCACACAGGGUGAACUUUCAUUGGACACUUAGAUUCGAAGAUAAACAUUUGCGAUUAUUAGAAUUAUGGGGGCAUUAAAAAGGUUGUAGCUAUAUUAGGUAUUUGAUUCUAGCUUUGUUUGGUUAAGGAAGUAGCUUGGUAAAGAAAGAUGGGUGGUGAACUGAAAUAGUUGCAAAUUUGUACAUGUGGUGUUUUAGGAAAUUAUGUGUUAAGCUCGCUGAAGUAUUGCAUUUUAUUCGAUUGCUUCUUUUGACA